rnacentral:lncRNA from 1 species
AUCAGGGUUUGGCUGGCCACCUGGGGGAAGAACCAGCUAUUAUCUGGAGGUGGCUGUGAGAUUCGGGCUGCUGCUGCUGGCAGGCCUUCGGGGAAGCAACCGGAGUACUGAUCUGGUGUAGCCAGGUCUGUGUGUGUGAGAGGCGAAAGCUUCCACUCGCUUCGUUGGUAUCAAGUAAGAGCAGAGCAGAACCUGAUAUCAUGGCCCACAAGAGAUUAUUAAUGCUGAGGACUCUAAAGGCGUGUUGAGGUAAGUGUCUCCCUGGGUUACAAUGACCCUUUGCUUCUAGUAAAGAAAUCGGUUCAGAUUUUGCAUGAAAUGAGAUUGCUCUGAGUGACUUUGGUUGACAGCCCCAGCUGGAGCAGGAGGCAUCCUUGUGCUUCAGCCUCACUGCAGCGGUUGGUGAGGUACCAGAGAGCCUGUUAGGCUGCCUCAGUAACUUGGAGGGGGAUCCCACCUCUCUUGAACACACAUAGAGGGGAAGAAGCUGUGAGGUUGCACACGGUUCUGCUCAGAGGAGGUGGGACUCCC